rfam:Picea glauca, whole genome shotgun sequence.
ACAUGCCUACAUCAUAACGUUAAUGUACAUGAUCCCAUUAGAAAUCUGUAGUUAAACGCGCUCAGGAUGGAGUAGUACUGGGAUGGUUGAUCGCCUGAGAAGUCCUAGUGUUUGACAUGCC